GUUCUUACCUCUUUCCAUAUCCCUCUAUCUGCUCCAUCCCACCCACCAACACACAGAGGGAUAUACUUAUUUACAGGAAAAUCCUGAUGAUACGCCUCUGGUUAAUCUGUAAAGCAGAAAAGCUCACAGAGCAUAAUACUGUUUUAUCACACAGAAAAUCAUCUCUGUCAUAAAUUUUCUGUGUGAUAAAACAGUAUUAUGC